CUACAGUAAUGCAGAUACUGCUUCCAGAAUCAAAGCUGCUUUGGGUAUCUAUAAAGCAGUGAAGGCAUAUCCUUACUAGGGAGGAUCCAUUGAGCACAUGAACGACGAUUGGAAGAAUCAGUUUUGUUGGUGCUGUGUUCACUGCUCAAUUAGUCACCAGCAAGCACAGAAAGAUUGAUGGAAACGGGGCCGGACACAGGCAUGGGCAAACUGGGUGGCCGCCUGGGACCCGGACAGGAAGGGGGCCUGAAGAUGGUAAGUUUGUUAUUAUUAUGAUCGUUAUUUCUUGCAAAGGGGGGCCUGAUACUAAAAGUUCACC
rnacentral:lncRNA from 1 species